UACGUAGGCAGCAAGCGUUGUUCGGAGUUACUGGGCGUAAAGGGUGUGUAGGCGGUUCUUUAAGUUUGCUGUGAAAUCUCCCGGCUUAACCGGGAGGGUGCGGUGAAUACUGAGGGACUAGGGUACGGGAGAGGAAAGUGGAAUUCCUGGUGUAGCGGUGAAAUGCGUAGAUAUCAGGAGGAACACCGGUGGUGUAGACGGCUUUCUGGACCGUAACUGACGCUGAAACACGAAAGCGUGGGUAGCAAACAGG
rnacentral:rRNA from 1 species